rnacentral:rRNA from 1 species
UACGAAGGGGGCUAGCGUUGCUCGGAAUCACUGGGCGUAAAGGGUGCGUAGGCGGGUCUUUAAGUCAGGGGUGAAAUCCUGGAGCUCAACUCCAGAACUGCCUUUGAUACUGAAGAUCUUGAGUUCGGGAGAGGUGAGUGGAACUGCGAGUGUAGAGGUGAAAUUCGUAGAUAUUCGGAAGAACACCAGUGGCGAAGGCGGCUCACUGGCCCGGUACUGACGCUGAGGUGCGAAAGCGUGGGGAGCGAACAGG